ACAGUAUCAGCCAGCAUUUUGGUUCGUUCUCUUUGGAAUUCUGCCAUUGCUUUCACUUCAUCGCCACGGUUUUUCUUCAAUCCCUUCGGUCACGGCACUGAUUUGAUGUUUUUCUUUGUUCCAUCAUUGAAGGGUCCAAUGUCGGAAUCUGUUGUGUGGCCAAUACACACUAAUGUCAAGCAUUGAAUCGCCAAUACCAAUUAAUUACCAAAAAUGUGCAACUUGAUCUGCCUUCAUGUAUGGGUGUGGAAUCAAUAAAUUUGAAUUGUGAGAUUGGGUGGAGGUAAGGGAUCUCUCUCUCUCCCUCUCUUAAUUCUUAUUGUUCUUUUCAAUCGCAAGAAAUCCUUAUUUUGCAUACAGAUCUGUUAAUUUCGUUUGUGAGGUCAAAAUUAGAUUCUGAGAUGUGAAAAAGUGUUCUCCCUCUUCUCCUUGGAUCCAUUAAUGGGGGGAGAAUUUCUUCUACAUCGCCCUUUACAAUUUAUAUUAUUACGAAGUCAUCAUUAUUGUUGUUAUAUUUAAAAUGAUAGUUAACAAGUCUGUCAAAGUCCCAUAACUUUAGAGGGGGAAAUUAAUCAAAUUCUUACAAACCUCUAAAUUGGCAUUAUUGACACUAUAAAAAUUGAGAUAUAAUAUUUGGAGAAUA